rnacentral:rRNA from 1 species
CCAGUUUUGCUCCAAGGACCAAUCGUCGUCCGCCCUGGGUUAGUCGGGACCUAAGCCGAGGCCGAAAGGCGUAGGUGAUGGACAACAGGUUGAUAUUCCUGUACCGCCAAUAAGCGUUUGAGAGAUGGAGUGACACAGUAGGAUAAGCUAACCGUACUGUUGGUUAUGUACGGCUAAGCAUUGAGGCAGUCUAAAUAGGCAAAUCCGUUUAGGCAAUGCUAGGAUGUGAUGGGGAAGCCCUUCAGGGCGAAGUAGCUGAUUUCACACUGUCAAGAAAAGCUUCUAUCGAGUUUAAAGGCGCCCGUACCGUAAACCGACACAGGUGGGUGAGGAGAGUAUCCUAAGGCCAGCGAGAGAACUAUUGUUAAGGAACUCGGCAAAAUGACCCCGUAACUUAGGGAGAAGGGGUGCCUGUCUAUGACAGGCCGCAGAGAAUAGGCCCAAGCGACUGUUUACCAAAAACACAGGUUUCUGCUAAGUCGCAAGACGAUGUAUAGGAGCUGACGCCUGCCCGGUGCUGGAAGGUUAAGGGGAUCUGUUAGAGCAAUCGAAGCAGUGAACUUAAGCCCCAGUAAACGGCGGCCGUAACAAUAACGGUCCUAAGGUAGCGAAAUUCCUUGUCGGGUAAGUUCCGACCCGCACGAAAGGCGUAACGAUUUGGGCACUGUCUCAACAAUAGACUCGGUGAAAUUGUAAUCCCGGUGAAGAUGCCGGGUACCUGCGACAGGACGGAAAGACCCCAUGGAGCUUUACUGUAGCUUGACGUUGGGUCUUGGUACUACAUGUACAGGAUAGGUGGGAGACUAUGAAGCAUGGACGCCAGUCUGUGUGGAGUCAUCCUUGGGAUACCACCCUUGUAGUACUGGGAUCCUAACCAUAGGCCUUGAAUCAGGUCUUGGAACACCGUCAGGUGGGCAGUUUGACUGGGGCGGUCGCCUCCUAAAAAGUAACGGAGGCGCUCAAAGGUUUCCUCAGCACGGUCGGAAAUCGUGCGAAGAGUGUAAAGGCAAAAGGAAGCUUGAUUGCAAGACAUACAGGUCGAGCAAGGACGAAAGUCGGACUUAGUGAUCCGGUGGUACCGCAUGGAAGGGCCAUCGCUCAACGGAUAAAAGCUACCCUGGGGAUAACAGGCUUAUCUCCCCCAAGAGUCCACAUCGACGGGGAGGUUUGGCACCUCGAUGUCGGCUCAUCACAUCCUGGGGCUGUAGUAGGUCCCAAGGGUUGGGCUGUUCGCCCAUUAAAGUGGUACGCGAGCUGGGUUCAGAACGUCGUGAGACAGUUCGGUCCCUAUCCGUCGCAGGCGUAGGAAAUUUGAGAAGACCUGUCCUUAGUACGAGAGGACCGGGAUGGACGUACCUCUGGUGUACCAGUUGUUCUGCCAAGGGCAUGGCUGGGUAGCUAUGUACGGAAUGGAUAAGCGCUGAAAGCAUCUAAGCGCGAAGCCAACUUCAAGAUAAGAUUUCCCACCGUAAGGGUAAGACCCCAGGAAGACUACCUGGUUGAUAGGUCGAAGGUGUAAGUGCAGUAAUGUAUUUAGCUUAUCGAUACUAAUAGGUCGAGGACUUGACC